GUCUACAGUCAUAUUACCGUCAUCCUGGAAACUAAGCAGGGUUGGGUCCGGCCAGUACUUGGAUGGGAGAUUGCCUGGGAACACCGGGUGAUCUUAGCUU
ensembl:rRNA 5S_rRNA 5S ribosomal RNA